UACGAAGGGGGCUAGCGUUGUUCGGAAUUACUGGGCGUAAAGCGCACGUAGGCGGACAUUUAAGUCAGGGGUGAAAUCCCAGAGCUCAACUCUGGAACUGCCUUUGAUACUGGGUGUCUUGAGUAUGGAAGAGGUGAGUGGAAUUCCGAGUGUAGAGGUGAAAUGCGUAGAGAUCCGGAGGAACCCCAGAGGCGAAGGCGGCGCCCUGGCCCGACACUGACGCUCAGACACGACGAGCAUGGGGAGCGAACGGG
rnacentral:rRNA from 1 species